rnacentral:rRNA from 1 species
GGGUUGUGAGGUUAAGCGACUAAGCGUACACGGUGGAUGCCCUGGCAGUCAGAGGCGAUGAAGGGCGUGCUAAUCUGCGAUAAGCGCCGGUAAGGUGAUAUGAACCGUUAUAACCGGCGAUACCCGAAUGGGGAAACCCAGUGUGACUCGUCACACUAUCAUUAACUGAAUCCAUAGGUUAAUGAGGCGAACCGGGGGAACUGAAACAUCUAAGUACCCCGAGGAAAAGAAAUCAACCGAGAUUCCCCCAGUAGCGGCGAGCGAACGGGGAGGAGCCCAGAGCCUGAAUCAGCAUGUGUGUUAGUGGAAGCGUCUGGAAAGGCGCGCGAUACAGGGUGACAGCCCCGUACACAAAAGCGCAUGUGCUGUGAGCUCGAUGAGUAGGGCGGGACACGUGGUAUCCUGUCUGAAUAUGGGGGGACCAUCCUCCAAGGCUAAAUACUCCUGACUGACCGAUAGUGAACCAGUACCGUGAGGGAAAGGCGAAAAGAACCCCGGCGAGGGGAGUGAAAAAGAACCUGAAACCGUGUACGUACAAGCAGUGGGAGCACAGGUUUACCUGUGUGACUGCGUACCUUUUGUAUAAUGGGUCAGCGACUUAUAUUCUGUAGCAAGGUUAACCGAAUAGGGGAGCCGGAGGGAAACCGAGUCUUAAUUGGGCGUUAAGUUGCAGGGUAUAGACCCGAAACCCGGUGAUCUAGCCAUGGGCAGGUUGAAGGUUGGGUAACACUAACUGGAGGACCGAACCGACUAAUGUUGAAAAAUUAGCGGAUGACCUGUGGCUGGGGGUGAAAGGCCAAUCAAACCGGGAGAUAGCUGGUUCUCCCCGAAAGCUAUUUAGGUAGCGCCUCGUGAAUUCAUCUCCGGGGGUAGAGCACUGUUUCGGCUAGGGGGCCAUCCCGGCUUACCAACCCGAUGCAAACUGCGAAUACCGGAGAAUGUUAUCACGGGAGACACACGGCGGGUGCUAACGUCCGUCGUGAAGAGGGAAACAACCCAGACCGCCAGCUAAGGUCCCAAAGUCAUGGUUAAGUGGGAAACGAUGUGGGAAGGCCCAGACAGCCAGGAUGUUGGCUUAGAAGCAGCCAUCAUUUAAAGAAAGCGUAAUAGCUCACUGGUCGAGUCGGCCUGCGCGGAAGAUGUAACGGGGCUAAACCAUGCACCGAAGCUGCGGCAGCGACACUGUGUGUUGUUGGGUAGGGGAGCGUUCUGUAAGCCUGUGAAGGUGGCCUGUGAGGGUUGCUGGAGGUAUCAGAAGUGCGAAUGCUG